rfam:Mesocricetus auratus contig020601, whole genome shotgun sequence.
GUUUUGUAUGAAAGGAAAGAAAAGAACGGUCAGUGUUCUCCUUGACAAGGAUACAAGAAGUACUUGAGUCUAACAAUAUGCAUAUGAUGAAGAUACAUAUUGUCACCUACUUUUUGGCAUUUAUCCACUGUUUUUU